GACGAACGCUGGCGGCGUGCUUAACACAUGCAAGUCGAACGGAAAGGCCCUGCUUUUGUGGGGUGCUCGAGUGGCGAACGGGUGAGUAACACGUGAGUAACCUGCCCUUGACUUUGGGAUAACUUCAGGAAACUGGGGCUAAUACCGGAUAGGAGCUCCUGCUGCAUGGUGGGGGUUGGAAAGUUUCGGCGGUUGGGGAUGGACUCGCGGCUUAUCAGCUUGUUGGUGGGGUAGUGGCUUACCAAGGCUUUGACGGGUAGCCGGCCUGAGAGGGUGACCGGCCAUAUUGGGACUGAGAUACGGCCCAGACUCCUACGGGAGGCAGCAGUGGGGAAUAUUGCACAAUGGGCGGAAGCCUGAUGCAGCAACGCCGCGUGCGGGAUGACGGCCUUCGGGUUGUAAACCGCUUUCGCCUGUGACGAAGCGUGAGUGACGGUAAUGGGGAAAGAAGCACCGGCUAACUACGU
rnacentral:rRNA from 1 species